GAUGAACGCUGGCGGCGUGCCUAAUACAUGCAAGUCGAGCGAACGGACGAGAAGCUUGCUUCUCUGAUGUUAGCGGCGGACGGGUGAGUAACACGUGGAUAACCUACCUAUAAGACUGGGAUAACUUCGGGAAACCGGAGCUAAUACCGGAUAAUAUUUUGAACCGCAUGGUUCAAAAGUGAAAGACGGUCUUGCUGUCACUUAUAGAUGGAUCCGCGCUGCAUUAGCUAGUUGGUGAGGUAACGGCUUACCAAGGCAACGAUGCAUAGCCGACCUGAGAGGGUGAUCGGCCACACUGGAACUGAGACACGGUCCAGACGCCUACGGGAGGCAGCAGUAGGGAAUCUUCCGCAAAGGGCGAAAGCCUGACGGAGCAACGCCGCGUGAGUGAUGAAGGACUUCGGAUCGUAAAACUCUGUUAUUAGGGAAGAACAUAUGUGUAAGUAACUGUGCACAUCUUGACGGUACCUAAUCAGAAAGCCACGGCUAACUACGUG
rnacentral:rRNA from 1 species